rnacentral:rRNA from 1 species
UACGAAGGGGGCGAGCGUUGUUCGGAUUUAUUGGGCGUAAAGGGCGUGUAGGCGGGUUCUUAAGUCAGGAGUGAAAUCCCUCGGCUCAACCGAGGAAUGGCUUUUGAAACUGGGGACCUUGAGUGCGGGAGAGGGAAGUGGAAUUCCCAGUGUAGCGGUGAAAUGCGUAGAUAUUGGGAAGAACACCGGUGGCGAAGGCGGCUUCCUGGACCGUAACUGACGCUAAAGCGCGAAAGCGUGGGGAGCAAACAGG